GGGAGAGUGGAUGAAGGAGUUGAAGAGUUCUUUACUAAGAGAGUACUUCCUGCAGAUACACUGUGAGUAUCACAGCUGGCAGAUGAGCCUCUCAGCUGUUAAUUUCAUCCUGAUAACAACAGUGCUUACACAGGUGAAUAGACCAAGAUUUAUAUUCUUUGUACAGAAAACAGCAAGAUGAGGAGGUUAUCACGGAGCAUGAAGUGGCACCUGCCAGCUCUGCCCCUUGUCCACCCCCAACAAAAACACUCAGGAGGAAGCUUGGUGACUUCUUUACACUCAAAAAGAAGCGCGGUUUGAAAUCAGAACCAAGCCAAGAGGGCCGCCCCAAAAAGGCCUCCAUCGCUGAUCUCAUUCGCCCUCUCAGGGAGGCCGCCAGAUCCGAGAAGGAAAAAGACAAGGAUCGAGUGAAGGAGCACGACAAGGAAAAUGAAAAGGAGAAAGCUAAAGAGCAUCCAGGUGCUGUUACAGGAGAGAUAGCUGCUCGGGAGACCCCUGUUUCUGGUGCUCCGCCGCUGAGGGGUGAGGCGGCACCUCCCCGCCGAGCUCUCAGGGAGGGGAAGUCCCAGUCUCUCAUUCUGCUCUCUGGAUCUGCAGGAGCAGGGACCACCAAUGCCAGAAACACAUCAAAGAAACAAUUAGAAGGCCAACAUAGUUUUGAACAGAAACUCCAUCUCAUGCUUCAACGCAUUGGAGUUUCCAAAGCCCAGCCUGGAGAGACACAGGUGUGUAAAUAUGUGUGUUUGAACUGAGGUGUGACUACUGUCGGAGUCAUAUGACAGCGUUUAAAUUCCCCUUUUAUCUUGUAGAAUCAAGAAGGAGAGAUGAAGAAGGCAGAGUCUGAAGGUAUGUCUCUUUAUCUCUGUGAUUAAAGUCUUCCCUGCUCCAGUUUAGUGUUUUUUAAACCUUGAAGUUGAGAGAUUUCUAUCAGAAGGAGAGACUUCUUGACAUGGAUCAGUUUUCCAUUAAAAGAUUUAAUAUUUCAGGCACUGUGCUGAUAAGAC
rnacentral:lncRNA from 1 species